rnacentral:rRNA from 1 species
UACGUAGGGGGGCAAGCGUUGUCCGGAUUUAUUGGGCGUAAAGAGCGUGUAGGCGGCUAGGUAGGUCCGUUGUGAAAACUCGAGGCUCAACCUCGAGACGCCGAUGGAAACCAUCUGGCUAGAGUCCGGAAGAGGAGAGUGGAAUUCCUGGUGUAGCGGUGAAAUGCGCAGAUAUCAGGAGGAACACCGGUGGCGAAGGCGGGUCUCUGGGCCGAUACUGACGCUGAGGAGCGAAAGCGUGGGGAGCGAACAGG